rnacentral:lncRNA from 1 species
UGUUAAUCUCAGGAUUAAGGAAAAGCUGUGAAAGUAUGAUUUGAGCUUUUAGAAAUAUUUUCUGCUUUAAAAUUAAAGAAAUUAACCUGUAAUGAGCAAUCCUUUUUAUUUAGAACUGAAUUAAUGAGUUCCCACUGAAGAUGGGCAUGUUGGGCAUUAAUAAAUGUAUAAUUAUGCAAAACCACUGUUAUGCCUCUAAUGAAAAUUAGAUUCUACCAGGGAGGCUGUGUUUGGCGAUAGUGUAUAUCUUCAUUUGUGCUAUAUUUAUUCUUUUUUCCUAGCUGCAUGACCUAGGAUUACAGUUGCUAUGGCAAUAAGGCAGUUAGUGAAGGAAGGAGUGAAAGAAUUACGGAAGACAGUUGGAAAGAACUUAAACAGAACUUUGUUGCUGCAAGGAAUGGAUGCCAGAAACGGAAGGCAAUCAGAAUAGAUCUUUAUUUUCUGACAAUAGCUGGGUUUGAAUUAAAUAGUUUCAACUCAAACAGUGAAACUCAGUUAUGAAACCAUGUACAAGAAAUCUGAAAGGUAUUAAAUUUGCACAAAGAAGGAAAGUCUG